rnacentral:misc_RNA from 1 species
GAUGAAGAACGUAGCGAAAUGCGAUAAGUAAUGUGAAUUGCAGAAUUCCGUGAAUCAUCGAAUCUUUGAACGCACAUUGCGCCCCCUGGUAUUCCGGAGGGCAUGUCUGUCCGAGCGUCAUUAGUCCAAUCUCAAGCCCGGCUUGUCGUUGGGUCGCACCGCCCGGGGCGGUGGACCCGAAAUAUAAUGACGGGGUCUAGCGGACCGUGGGCGCAGCGAGCUUUUACAGCACGCGUCCCGGCGUCAUCUAGACGCGUCUCCAACCAUACUCUCUGUAGGUUGACCUCGGAUCAGACAGGAUUACCCGCUGAACUUAAGCAUAUCAAUAAGCGGAGGA